UGGGGAAUAUUGGACAAUGGGCGAAAGCCUGAUCCAGCCAUGUCGCGUGUGUGAAGAAGGUCUUCGGAUUGUAAAGCACUUUAAGUUGGGAGGAAGGGCAGUAAGCGAAUACCUUGCUGUUUUGACGUUACCGACAGAAUAAGCACCGGCUAACUCUGUGCCAGCAGCCGCGGUAAUACAGAGGGUGCAAGCGUUAAUCGGAAUUACUGGGCGUAAAGCGCGCGUAGGUGGUUCGUUAAGUUGAAUGUGAAAGCCCCGGGCUCAACCUGAGAACUGCAUCCAAAACUGGCGAGUUUGAGUAGGGCAGAGGGUGGUGGAAUUACCUGUGUAGCGGUGAAAUGCGUAGAUAUAGGAAGGAACACCAGUGGCGAAGGCGACCACCUGAGCUCAUACUGACACUGAAGUACGAAAGCGUGGGGAGCAAACAGG
rnacentral:rRNA from 1 species